rnacentral:rRNA from 1 species
UUCGCAAUGCCCGAAAGGGUGACGAAGCGACGCCGCGUGGGUGAGGAAGGCCUUCGGGUUGUAAAACCCUGUCAGGAGUUAUGAAAUGUAAGUGCGCUAAUAUCGUACUUAUUUGACAAAGGCUCCAAAGGAAGCCACGGCUAACUCUGUGCCAGCAGCCGCGGUAAUACAGAGGUGGCAAGCGUUGUUCGGAAUUAUUGGGCGUAAAGAGCACGUAGGUGGAUUUGUUAGUCAGAUGUGAAAGCCUUUUGUUCAACGGAAGAAUUGCAUCUGAAACUGCUAAUCUUGAGUAUAGGAGGGGAGAGUGGAACUUCUGGUGGAGCGGUGAAAUGCGUAGAUAUCAGAAGGAACGCCGGCGGCGAAAGCGACUCUCUGGCCUAUUACUGACACUGAGUGUGCGAAAGCUCGGGGAGCAAACGGGAUUAGAUACCCCGGUAGUCCUAGCCGUAAACGAUGGGCACUAAGUAGAGGGGUUUU